GUCGAGCGGCAGCACGGGUACUUGUACCUGGUGGCGAGCGGCGGACGGGUGAGUAAUGCCUAGGAAUCUGCCUGGUAGUGGGGGAUAACGCUCGGAAACGGACGCUAAUACCGCAUACGUCCUACGGGAGAAAGCAGGGGACCUUCGGGCCUUGCGCUAUCAGAUGAGCCUAGGUCGGAUUAGCUAGUUGGUGAGGUAAUGGCUCACCAAGGCGACGAUCCGUAACUGGUCUGAGAGGAUGAUCAGUCACACUGGAACUGAGACACGGUCCAGACUCCUACGGGAGGCAGCAGUGGGGAAUAUUGGACAAUGGGCGAAAGCCUGAUCCAGCCAUGCCGCGUGUGUGAAGAAGGUCUUCGGAUUGUAAAGCACUUUAAGUUGGGAGGAAGGGCAGUUACCUAAUACGUAUCUGUUUUGACGUUACCGACAGAAUAAGCACCGGCUAACUCUGUGCCAGCAGCCGCGGUAAUACAGAGGGUGCAAGCGUUAAUCGGAAUUACUGGGCGUAAAGCGCGCGUAGGUGGUUUGUUAAGUUGAAUGUGAAAUCCCCGGGCUCAACCUGGGAACUGCAUCCAAAACUGGCAGGCUAGAGUAUGGUAGAGGGUGGUGGAAUUUCCUGUGUAGCGGUGAAAUGCGUAGAUAUAGGAAGGAACACCAGUGGCGAAGGCGACCACCUGGACUGAUACUGACACUGAGGUGCGAAAGCG
rnacentral:rRNA from 1 species